UACAGAGGUCUCAAGCGUUGUUCGGAUUCAUUGGGCGUAAAGGGUGCGUAGGCGGCGCGGUAAGUCGGAUGUGAAAUCUCGGAGCUUAACUUCGAAACUGCAUUCGAUACUGCCGUGCUUGAGGACUGGAGAGGAGACUGGAAUUUACGGUGUAGCGGUGAAAUGCGUAGAUAUCGUAAGGAAGACCAGUGGCGAAGGCGGGUCUCUGGACAGUUCCUGACGCUGAGGCACGAAGGUCAGGGGAGCAAAAAGG
rnacentral:rRNA from 1 species